rnacentral:rRNA from 1 species
GCAAGUUUCAAGCACUAGCCAAAUAUGAAUAUUACAUAUGAUCUCAAGUCUACAGAAAUUUAGAGAAUGAAGGGGAGUAGCAGCAAUUUAUGGUUCAAAUUAGGAGCAGAGCAGGGGGGCCAAGGAAGAAGCAGCAGCUAGAAGCUUCGAGUUCAGAGAAGGAGGAAAGUGGAGGAAGUGGAAGAGAUGGAGCAGCAGCGUGGGGUUGAGAGGAAGAGCAGCAGCAUUAGCGUCAGGGGAAGCAGAGGAGGAGGAGCAGAGAGAUGAACAGCGGCAGGGGCGUGGGAGAAGCAGCGAGGCAAGGGAAGGAGGAAGAAGAGAAGCAGCGAGGCAAGGAGAAUCACACGGGGCACCAGACGCCUCGUCUGGUCGGGCGCGCGAGCGUGGGGUGAAGGCGCGGUGGAGGCGCUGGUGGUGCUGAAGGUACUAGGCGGCGCGGGGAGAUGGCGGCGCAGGUGGUUGGCUGGUCGUGCACGCGAGCUGGUGGUGGUGGCGCUACUGGUGGAGUGGAUAUGGUGGUGUGGUGCUGGAGGUGAGUAUGCUCGUGGAUGGAUGGGUGGCAGAGGCGCACCACCACACCGGCCUGGACGUGGCGGCGGCCGGAGGUGGAGAAGGAGGUGCGAGGGAGAGAGAUGAGUAGCCAGGCCCGAUCGAAUCCCUCCAGCGCCUAGGGAUUUUGUUCCCCUCCUUUCAUCUGAACUUUGUGAUUUGGCCCUCUUUCUUCUCUUCUUUCUUCACAAGAAGGUCCUCCCACUUCUUUAUCUAGCCCCCUGGUUACUUCUCUUCAUCUCACACAAGUCUCUUCUUCCUUCUCUUCUCUUCUUCACUCUCCUCGAUAGCCACAUAGACGGAAUCUUGACGAUUAUUAGUGCCUUUGCGCACAUUUCUGCAAGAUAGACCAAAGACUAGCAAAUGAUCCUUUUUGAUGAUUAUCAAGCAAUAUUCAAUCAAUCAUGGCAAGAAUGGACGAAUAUGUCAUGAUAGAUGCUAUAUUUGAGUACCAAAAUUAUAUAUGUGAAAUAUACUUAUCAAGUUCCCCCACACUUAAACUUUUGCUUGUCCUCAAGCAAAGGAAUAUGACAAGAGCUAGAUAAUGAACAGUGAGCUGACUGGAGAAUGUCCCAGUGAAGUAGAUCUCCAAACAAAGCAUGCUUUGGACUUAACUAGUGAAAAUCAAUGGUUAAGAGUGCUACAGAGCAAUAGAGUACUAGUAAGCAUGACCAUUUUAAACUUUUACAAUGAUAAAUGAGGAUCAACAAGUUUAAAUGAUGACUGUGCCAAAUGGUUCCUAAAAAGAGCAUGAUCCCAAGAACAAAUGAACUAGAAUUAAAUCUUGUGAUCAAAUCACUUAUUUACAGAGAUAAAAUAAUGAUUAUAUUAUUAUUAGUCUCACCAUAGGAACAUACCACCGAUCCCAAGAACAUGGUAUACACCUGGCUCGACCAAUUAUUAGUUUUUUUGUCUCCCCAAAGGAACAUACCACCGAUCCCGAGAACAUGGUAUACACCUGGUUUGACAAUUACAUAUUUAUUUAUUUAUUACUGUCCAAGCUACCAGAUUUCACAUGCCACCGAUCCAGGGAACAUGACAUGCUACUGUAGGUAGACCAGACUUAUUUAUUCAAUAUUACUUAUCUUAAAUGAACAACGCAUAAGCACAAAAACAGGAAUCAUCACUUUUCCAUGUCUGGUUCACAUGCUACCGAUCCAGGGAACAUAGCAUGCUAAUCCAUAGUGGUUAGGUGAUUGCUCUCAAUGGGAACACACUUAGCACAAAUUCAGCAUCUAAACAUGGUGAUCUAGGUGUAUCAAGGUAAAAGCAGAAAAUGAUCAAGUUUUCUAGUGUACUAGGGAUUUGAGCACUCAAAACUAAUAACUUCCACAAAUUUCAGCAAAGCAUGCAUGGUGUAGAUCACUAGUUUACAAGGCAUUCA